CCUUGUUCAGCUGAGAGUUCCAGUCUGCAUAUUACUAUGUGCUUGGGGAAUUCUCCUUGACAGAAAUGUUCAGUUGUCUAGCUCACAGGGAUAUCCACAAGCCAGACCCAGAAAGCCUUUGCUACCAUUGAUGAAGAUGCCAAGUCCACAGCCCAACAGCCAGAAGACCCUUGGUCUAGCCCUUGGAUUCAGACUGAAUUGAUAUCGCCAGGUUUCCUGUCUUUUCAGCUUGCAGGCAGCUGAUUGUGGGACUUCUCAGCCUCCUUAAUCAUAUUUUCUUAUCAUUGGCCUUCAACAUUUUUAUCAGGAUAUAUCUGUGUAUAUUGCAGAUUUUACAAAUUGAAGGUUUGUGACAACUCCCUCAAGGAAGUCUGUUGGUGUUAUUUUUCCAACAGCAGGUACUCACUUCAUGUCUCUGUGUCACAUUUUGGCCUUUAAACCAAGAGAAGACAUACCUGAGCAAUUGAACCAGAAGGGAUGAGCCCCACCUGGAUCUGAUGCAGAUUAAAAUAUCUUGGACCUUGGGCCUGAGCUUGGAAUGGAAUGAGACCUUUGAGGAUCUUAGUGGGGAAUCCCCUUGUCAUAAAACCAAUGCAUAAGAUACAACUGCAUCCAAUGUAUUCCAGGGAAAGAUUCUCUGCAGAUGACUCAAGGAAAGCCACAGGAGCAACAGGGAAACUGAAAGAACAAAUAUCACAGUUGAUUCAGAAGGGCAGCCCCACAUUUUUAAGUGAUACCCAACCAUUGUGAACAAGCUCUGUCAACACCAUCUGCUCCACAAAGGAAAGUUGCUGAUUAUUGCAUCUCUAAGUGGAGUCGGUUCUCUCCCACGAUAGCAGAAGGCUUUCACAUUCACUAUACUGUUAUGGACAUGGAGGAUGGGAACCAUUGCUUUGUUUACUCUGCAACUUCUUAAUUAUAUCACAAAAGACUCGACACAUAAGCAGUAUCCAGAAAAGCAAGUCGACUACAUAAAAAUCAAUGCAUGAUUGUCUAUAGCCUUUGACAUACUAGGACCAGUCAAGAUAUGUGUGGAGGGUAAUGAAGAAUGGGCAAAUACCAGAGAAAAGACAGCUGAGUGUCCAUGAUAAAG
rnacentral:lncRNA from 1 species